AUCCUGGCCUUAUUAUUGGUUUUUUCUUAACUUACACAUGCAAGUCUCAGCACACCUGUGAGUAACGCCCCUGUAACCACUAUUGGCAUAGGGAGCUGGUGUCAGGCGCAACCAAUUGCCCACAAUACCUAGUUUCACCACACCCCCAAGGGUAUUCAGCAGUGAUAAAUAUUGUUUAUAAGCGACAGCUUGACUUAGCCAGAGAAAAGAGAGCUGGCCAAUCCAGUGCCAGCCGCCGCGGCUACACUGGAAGCUCAAAUUAAUAAUUAUCGGCGUUAAGCGUGAUUAAAGUCCAAACAAACUAGGGUCAAAUUAAUACUUAGUAGUGAUAAGCUUAUUAUUAAGAAGAACAAGAACGAAAGUUACCCUAUUUAUUAUACUUAAAUACACGACAGCUAGGAACACAAACUGGGAUUAGAUACCCCAUUAUGCCUACCCGUAAAUAAUCAACUUACACCUACCAACGCCAGGGGACUACGAGCAAUGCUUAAAACCCAAAGGACUUGACGGUGUUCCACCCAACUAGAGGAGCCUGUUCUAGAAUCGAUGAUCCCCGCUAAACCCUACCACUCCUAGCCUAUUCAGCCUGUAUACUUCCGUCGAAAGUUUACCGUGUGAAUGUUCAUAAGUAGACCCAAUGAUUUACCCAUCAAUAUGUCAGGUCAAGGUGCAGCCCAAGGAACGGAGAGUAAUGGGCUACAAUUUCUAAGGUAGAACAUACGAAAGUCUAUGUGAAAUCAUAGUUAUGAAGGUGGAUUUAGUAGUAAAAAGAAAGUAGAGUGUUCUUUUUAACAUGGCCCUGGAACGUGUACAAACCGCCCGUCGCCCUCUUCGAUAAAUUAAAUUACAGUUUCUAACCCAUUUUUAUUCCCUUAGAAGAGGUAAGUCGUAACAUGGUAAGUGUACUGGAAAGUGCACUUAGGACAUUA
rnacentral:ncRNA from 1 species